AAAAAACAUCUUGGUCAUUUGGUACGAAACUCACAUUCUCAUAACUGGAAGUUAAGAACUGCAUGAAGUUCCAUAUUUACUUUAGCAACAAGAAUUUUCAUUUCAUGAGAUCACAGGAAUUUUUAAGAAGAUGGGUCACAUGGAGACAUUCAUUUUAAUACUUCCAGUAGCUGCUUUUGAUUACUGACUUGCUUGCUGUGAUUGCCUCUGCCUUGAAAAAAUUGGAAAAUAAUAAUUUUAACAUGUGAGGAAUAUGGGACUGAAUUCAGAACAGUCCAUUCCUAGUCUGCAAAGUUCUGUAAAGAUUCCAUUGCUUUCAUAAGGCUGGAUAGAACAACCUCCUUUACAAAUAUAGGGUAUUUUUAGACCUGAAACUAACAUUAUUAUCAUAAAACUACUGCUCUCUCCUCUAUGUGGGCCCUUCAUAUUUCUGUUUUAACAUCUACAAAAAUAAAAAGCAGCCUUCUAGAACAAAAACCACUUUUUUUAAAGGGAGGAGGAGCACAGCUCUGCCAUGGGGAAAGACAGCAACCUCCUUGCAGCAUUACCUCAAGUAAAACGACCAUCUGAGCAACACCACAGGCAAAAAGACAAGGUCCUGAAGACUCCAUGAUGAUAUUGACUUAUUUCUUCUCUAACUGUCCAAUUAGUCAUGAUGCUACAAAGGGAGUUAUUAGUGCCAUAUGGAAUGCAAGAUGCUGAAGACACCAAGCUUUUUCUCCCUUUCAUGGAGAACAGGGUUCAGGGCAGACUGCCAUGGUGGACUUGCUAGCCAGAGCUCGGCAGGUCAGAGAAAGAAUGUUUAGAUAAGAAGAAAUAAACAACCUUGAAAAAGCACAAUCAGAAGCAUUCCAGGAUCCUCAUUUGGCAGCAUUGGGCUAGGGAAAGGGGAGCAAAGAUUCUUUAAGAUCUCUCUUGGGGUCCCUGACCUAGGAACUCUGAGAGAAAUCCACAUUUCAGGAGAUGAAGUCACAAAUAAUCCAGGCCGUAAGCAGUUUUGGACAUCUAUUUUUCUAUGCUGUGUGAAAAGUGAACCAGAAAUUACCUGAUGUAAAUUAAAAUAUUUGUAGAGCGGGAAUGAUGGCAAUAAAAAUGAGAAGAACAAAAAACAGUAAGUAAUUAAAUAAUAAUAAAAAUGCUAUCAAACAUACAGGCUUGAUUAGCACAGUGGCAGGAUUAGAAUGAAAAGGACAAAAUGAAUCCUUGAUAUUUCUUCCACAUAUCUUUAAGGAUUUUACAAGAGAGGAAGAGACAGGGGAGCAUCAUGUAAAAGAACUGGAAGUGCCUGUCAGUUUUAGCAUAGAAAUCUUCCCAUUUAGCCAUGCAGCACAGCAGGAUGCCCUGGCUGUAGGAAAACCAAAGUGCACUUCCUCAUGCAGCACGGCUCUGCCACAGGCAGGCAGCUUUGUCCGGCUGGAAGUCCCACCUUGACACAACUAACACAAUUCCCACAGCCCUCAGGUGUGCACUGCAUUUAGGGAAUUAAUCAAUAAAUCAACCAAA